rnacentral:lncRNA from 1 species
UAACUUCUAUAUCCGAGAUUAGGCUCUUAAUAGCUUAAUAUAAUGUAAAUUUAAUGUAGCUAACUACAAUCCGCUAGCCAGCAGAGAAUUUGCAUUGUGUCACGCAGUGCCGACCAAGGUGCACCUUAUAAUUAUAUGAAUCACUCUCCGUAGUUAAUUUGCCAUUGUAGUGCCUUAUCCGGAAGGAUAAUAGCUAAACGAAAAUGGUGUCGUCGACCAGACUGCCCCUAAAAAACAAAAUGAAAUCCCCAGUGCUUUGCUGCUGCCUUUUGCUGGCUAUAUCGUGGUCAUGGACUCCUACCGUGUAUGCCGCCGGUGAGCUUCCUCCGAGUAUUUGAAUGAACAAAAUAAAAUAUGCACGCAAAGCAUUACUCUUACAGUUCACCAAGAAUGGCCUCCCUCCCAGCCCCGCAGCACCAAAUGUGAGUGCUUGCCUUUCAUAAAGUUACAUACGUUGCAAACAUCCAUGCAUGCAAUUGCGUGCAUGAAAAUUCACCAUAGUACAUAAAUGGCGAAGUAGGAAUCAGCGGCUUGUUUUUACCCCAGCCAUAUUCACAGCAGAUAACGACUGAGUAUUACACAGAAGCCAGCUCAUUUAUGUAGCUACCCUGCAUCUGACGUUCUGUACUCCGCCGAUAAGGCAAAUCAUUCCAUCUAUUUGUUCAAGAUCUUUGUAAUGUACAAGUCCGAUAAAACAUGACUGACCUAAACGCAGUCCCAAAAGCUGUGUAAUGCAAACACGACUUGCCAUGGCAUGGGCGUCAAAGCCUGCAUCUAAAUGGUUAUAGAUCUAUUACCAUCGCCGUUUCUUAAACCCCCUUACCCUUAGCCUUUGUUUCCCUAAGAUCCUCUUCAGUCAAGACCCCAACUGGCAACCCCACCUCCUCCGUCUGUACACCUUUCCUUUUCUUUCCAAACACAUUGGCUGCGUGCUUGGAAAGGUUGCACACCACCUGCCGGUUGGUGCGUGAGCGUGGAAAUGGAGGACGUGUUUCGGGUCCUCGAUUGCGAUGGCGAUGGACUGCUGGACCUCACCUGUGUCAACAAGCUAGGCAACCGCUGGGCGCUGCUCACGACUAGGAAUUGUGAUGGAGACUUUGGGGGCAAUGCGCCGGCAGAUGUUUGCCCCAGAGUCUUUGCAGUUCCACCACCACCGCCGCCUUCAACACCACCUUCACCAACAUUCACAGGUUAGCAUGGCCUUGGUGCCCGAAGCCCGGGCUUUAAGGAAUGGAAUAUUUACGGAGCACUCUUCUGUCUGAGAGGACAUGCUGUGUAUGUUGUAAUAUUGUCGUGCAACUGCAUGCGGCACGCUGCCGUGCAAGUGUAGAUUUGUUUAAUGUUAACCACAUCGUGUCCUAGCGUAAGAGCUAGGGUCGGGUCCUGUGUAACAUCCAAGGGCAUGACCAAUAGAUGGUAGUACAUACUUACAUAGUAGGAUAGGGAUUUAAACUCAACCGGGGUUUUACGAACGGGGCUCAGUCGAUGAGCAUGUGGUUGUUCGACUAACCAACUAACCUCACUUCCUCCGUCUGUACACCUUUCCUUUUCUUUCCAAACACAUUGGCUGCGUGCUUGGAAAGGUUGCACACCACCUGCCGGUUGGUGCGUGAGCGUGGAAAUGGAGGACGUCUAUAGGGUCCUCGAUUGCGAUGGCGAUGGACUGCUGGACCUCACCUGUGUCAACAAGCUGGGCAACCGCUGGGCGCUGCUCACGACUAGGAAUUGUGAUGGAGACUUUGGGGGCAGUGCGCCGGCAGAUGUUUGCCCCAGAGUCUUUGCAGUUCCACCACCACCGCCGCCUUCAACACCACCUUCACCAACAUUCACAGGUUAGCAUGGCCUUGGUGCCCGAAGCCGGGGCUUUAAGGAAUGGAAUAUUUAUGGAGCACUCUUCUGUCUGAGAGGACAUGAUGUGUAUGUUGUAAUAUUGUCGUGCAACUGCAUGCGGCACGCUGCCGUGCAAGUGUAGAUUUGUUUUAAUGUUAACCACAUCGUGUCCUAGCGUAAGAGCUAGGGUCGGGUCCUGUGUAACAUCCAAGGGCAUGAAUAAGGGAUUAUGGGGAUUUAAACUCAACCGGGUUUGUACGAACGGGGCCCAGUCGAUGAGCAAGUGGUUGUUUGACUAACCAACUAACCUCACUUCCUCCGUCUGUACACCUUCCCUUUUCUUUCCAAACACAUUGGCUGCGUGCUGGGAAAGGUUGCACACCACCUGCCGGUUGGUGCGUGAGCGUGGAAAUGGAGGACGUCUAUAGGGUCCUCGAUUGCGAUGGCGAUGGACUGCUGGACCUCACCUGUGUCAACAAGCUGGGCAACCGCUGGGCGCUGCUCACGACUAGGAAUUGUGAUGGAGACUUUGGGGGCAGUGCGCCGGCAGAUGUUUGCCCCAGAGUCUUUGCAGUUCCACCACCACCGCCGCCUUCAACACCACCUUCACCAACAUUCACAGGUUAGCAUGGCCUUGGUGCCCGAAGCCCGGGCUUUAAGGAAUGGAAUAUUUAUGGAGCACUCUUCUGUCUGAGAGGACAUGCUGUGUAUGUUGUAAUAUUGUCGUGCAACUGCAUGCGGCACGCUGCCGUGCAAGUGUAGAUUUGUUUUAAUCAUAAAAACAUCGUGUCUUAGCGUAAGAGCUAGGGUCGGGUCCUGUGUAACAUCCAAGGGCAUGAAUAAGGGAUGAUGGGGAUUUAAACUCAACCGGGUUUGUACGAACGGGGCCCAGUCGAUGAGCAAGUGGUUGUUUGACUAACCAACUAACCUCACUUCCUCGUCUGUACACCUUCCCUUUUCUUUCCAAACACAUUGGCUGCGUGCUUGGAAAGGUUGCACACCACCUGCCGGUUGGUGCGUGAGCGUGGAAAUGGAGGACGUCUUUAGGGUCCUCGAUUGCGAUGGCGAUGGACUGCUGGACCUCACCUGU